rnacentral:lncRNA from 1 species
UGAAACAUGGGUAAGAUACUGUAGCCCAUGAUAGGCUGCUAUUUCGACAAAUGUUGAUACUGGAAAGAAAUGGAAUUUUUUUGAUACAUUGACAUUGCUGUAAGUUCAUAUGUCAUCUAAACUAAAAGUACAUAAUAUUUGCCACAAGCUGGUACAAACACGGAGUGACAGUACACAGGGUGAACUAAUAAAACUCAAUGUCAUAGAACGUUCAUAGCGCCUUACAAGUCAUUGCUGACAUGAAGCAGCAAGGCGCAUUCAAAGUUAUACACAUGUGCCAUGUAGCUUCCUGCAAGAUGAUAUGUUAGAUAUAGUCCAAAAAAGGUUAUUUAAUCAUAGCUAAAAGAGGUUAUUUAAUCAAGGAAGACGUAUGACGGAAAUGAUUAGUUUAUCGACAACUAAGCUUUUGGUCAAGAAACUUGCAAGUGACUUAAGAAGACCAGACUCGUCGCUCUCUAUCUUCCUUACAAGUCAUAAAAGCACAAACAUGGUUUGGUACCAAAUGUAUAGUCGAAUCUGGAAUUGACUGCUCCCAGGGACCAAACCUCCCCUAUGGAGGUCCUCU